AAUCAACGCUGGCGGCAUGCCUAACACAUGCAAGUCGAACGCCCCGCAAGGGGAGCGGCAGACGGGUGAGUAACACGUGGGAACGUGCCUUUUGGUUCGGAACAACUGAGGGAAACUUCAGCUAAUACCGGAUAAGCCCUUACGGGGAAAGAUUUAUCGCCAAAAGAUCGGCCCGCGUCUGAUUAGCUAGUUGGUGAGGUAAUGGCUCACCAAGGCUACGAUCAGUAGCUGUUCGAGAGGAUGAUCAGCCACAUUGGGACUGAGACACGGCCCAAACUCCUACGGGAGGCAGCAGUGGGGAAUAUUGGACAAUGGGGGAAACCCUGAUCCAGCCAUGCCGCGUGAGUGAUGAAGGCCCUAGGGUUGUAAA
rnacentral:rRNA from 1 species